rnacentral:sRNA from 1 species
CUCAGAUGGCCCGCUGCAAGUCUCCAAAUAAAUGUUGAUAACAUCAAGACAGUUACGUACUCAGAUGGCCC